rnacentral:rRNA from 1 species
GACAGAGGGGGCAAGCGUUGCUCGGAAUUACUGGGCGUAAAGGGCGCGUAGGCGGAAUGGCAAGUCGGUCGUGAAAUCCUUCGGCUCAACCGAAGAACGUCGAUCGAAACUGCCGUUCUUGAGGAGUUGCAGAGGAGACUGGAAUUCCCGGUGUAGCGGUGAAAUGUGUAGAGAUCGGGAGGAACACCGGUGGCGAAGGCGGGUCUCUGGGCAAUUCCUGACGCUGAGGCGCGAAAGCAUGGGAGCAAACAGG